CAUUCAGUACCUGCACAUGCUGUCUCUCCGCUAGCUGAAUUGCAGCUGCAACCCUUCUGCUAGUGUCUGUCUGCGCAGUGACAGGGUUAAACCACAGAGCUCGAACGCCUUUGUAGAGAGGACCAGGAACUACUGCAAGGGGGGAAAUUAAUAUAAAAGGAACUUCCUGUCCCCAACACUCCGUCCUUCUCACUUGUAAUUUAGCCCACUGCAGCAGUUGUGCAUUAGAGUUGCGUGGUUGAAUCCGUUUCCAAAGAAGCAUCGGCCCCAAACAAGGAGGACUAGGUUUCCCUGGUCCCACGUGCUGCCAGCCCAGCGAGGUGAGUCUGGGCUAAGAGGAGACAGCAGCGAGAGUCGUAGGAGGGCUGCAGAAUUGAACAGCGGGGAGGCAAGAAAUCUCUGCCUGCAGACCCAGGGGAACCGGCAGAGGCGAGAGAAGACGAGCCGGGGGGAGCCAACUCAGGGGCAGCUCGUAGUGGGGAGCUGAGGAGGCAGGCAACCCAGCUCCUUCUCCGGUUGUUCCUGGGCCAGGGAAAAUAAUGAUCCAAACAGCGGACCAAAUUCAGUGAUGAAUCCUGGUCACGUGCUCCCUGAGGAACAUUGCGCAUGUGCUAAGAAGUCUCAUUACAGCAUCUCGGUUGGAGCCAGGAGAGGGAGAGAGAGCAAGCAGUAACUGCUGGGAGCUUUAGGAAUAGGAACUGUGACCCAUUACAGGACUUAAGCCUGCAGGAAGCACCUCUUGCGAGUGAAUUUCACUUGGACCAAUAAAGCCAUCUAGAUUUGUUUAAAUAGUUCAUCUCCAGAGUGUGAUGUGCAAGCCUACAAAUCAUCAAACCACCACAAAAGGUACG